rnacentral:rRNA from 1 species
AUGACUAUAUCAUGUUGAAACACCGGUUCUUAUACGAUCACCAAAGUUAAGCAAUGCCGGAUCUGGUCAAUACCUAGAUGGGUGACUGAUUGGGAAUACCAGGUGCUGUAAG